GUGAGGAAUAUUGGACAAUGGGCGCAAGCCUGAUCCAGCCAUGCCGCGUGCAGGAAGACGCAUCUAUGGUGUGUAAACUGCUUUUGUACGGGAAGAAACACUCCCUCGUGAGGGAGCUUGACGGUACCGUAAGAAUAAGGAUCGGCUAACUCCGUGCCAGCAGCCGCGGUAAUACGGAGGAUCCACGCGUUAUCCGGAAUCAUUGGGUUUAAAGGGUCCGUAGGCGGUUUAAUAAGUCAGUGGUGAAAGCCCAUCGCUCAACGAUGGAACGGCCAUUGAUACUGUUAGACUUGAAUUACAAGGAAGUAACUAGAAUAUGUAGUGUAGCGGUGAAAUGCUUAGAUAUUACAUGGAAUACCAAUUGCGAAGGCAGGUUACUACUUGUGGAUUGACGCUGAUGGACGAAAGCGUGGGGAGCGAACAGGAUUAGAAACCCCUGUAGUCC
rnacentral:rRNA from 1 species